GCGCAUGCAGGUGGUUUGUUAAGUCAGAUGUGAAAGCCCCGGGGCUCAACCUCGGAAUUGCAUUUGAAAACUGGCAAACUAGAGUACUGUAGAGGGGGUAGAAUUCAGGUGUAGCGGUGAAAAUGCGUAGAGAUCUGAAGGAAUACCGGUGGCGAAGGCGGCCCCCCUGGACAGAUACUGACACUCAGAUGCGAAAGCGUGGGGAGCAAACAGGAUUAGAUACCCUGGUAG
rnacentral:rRNA from 1 species